GUGGAGCUGACAGUCUGGAUGGGGAGACAGACUCGGCAGACAGAGCACCAUAUAAAGUUAUCAUCACAGAUUCGGUCUCCAGCCUGGGUCUGGAUUCCCCCAGGGUAGCUGCUCCCUUGUGAAGUCAGUCCUCCAAUGAAGGGGUUCUGCCCUAAGCCCCCACUGGGCCUGUGGAAUUUUCGACCUUGAAGAAAGAAUGCCCUACUUUCCACCAAGAAGCAAUCAGGAUUCUGGAACCUGGCCAAUCAGGUCCGCAGGAGGAAACUAAAGCUCCAAGAGGUGAGUGGCUUUUCCAAGGCCACACAAUUGGUUGGAAGCAGAACCAGGAUGAAAACCCGCCCAAUAUGGCUCAGAAGGCCUGGAACUGUUAAAGGUCACACCUUCUUGCUCCUGAAUUGUGUCUUUGGAGAAUCACAGAGCUCUGGCCAGUGUGUGACCAAGACCAGCCAGGCACUCAGGAGACCCAGGCCUGGCUCUCUGUGUAGGUUUUUUUUUUUUUUUUUUUUAAUUUGACAGAGAGGGAGAGAGAGAGAGAACAAGUAGGCAGAGCAGCAGGCAAACGGAGAGGGAGAAUCAGGCUCCCCACUGAGCAGGGAGCCCAAUUCGGGGCUCGAUCCCCGGACCCCGGACUCAUGACCUGAGCUGAAGGCAGAUGCUGCACUGACUGAGCCACCCAGGCGCUCCUCUCUGUGUAAUAUGGAGGAACUACAGGCUUCUUUGGAUGCCGUCUUCCAGCUCAGUGAAAUAAGGGGGCUGGUCUGGAAUAAUUUUUUUAAGCAGUGCAACUUGCCAGACAGUUGAGACCCCAAUAUAUAAAACAGACCAUACUCACAAAAUUUACGUUGUCAGCAUUUAGCUGGAAAUUCUUCUUGCUGUACAGAAUUUCGGAGACUCUGCUCCAUAGCCUGAGGCUUCCAGAAGCAGAGUAUGAAAACGUGUGGUUUAAUUGUUCUCUAAGGACUUUUGGGGCUUUAAAAUUAAAUCCAACAUUUAAUUCAAACAUUUCGUUUGUUCAUCCCACAAAAAUGUUUGAACUGCGUAAGAUUUGCCAGGCACUGGUCCAGGCACUGGGGCAUCGGAGAUGAGCUAGACCAGGAUCUCUCCAACCUCGGCACUAUUGUUGCUUGGGGCCAGAUGAUUCUUUGUCUUGUGUUGGGCCUCGCAGAAUGUUUAGCAGUAUUCCUGGUCUCUAUUCACUAGAUGCCAGUAGCUCCUGCCCAGUGUGAGAGCCCCGAAUGUCUUCAGAUGUUGCCAAAUUGACCUUGGCGGGCAAAAAUCCACCCUGGUUAAGAAUUACUGAGCUAA